rnacentral:rRNA from 1 species
UGAGGAAUAUUGGUCAAUGGACGGAAGUCUGAACCAGCCAAGUAGCGUGCAGGAUGACGGCCCUAUGGGUUGUAAACUGCUUUUGUAUGGGGAUAAAGUCAAUCACGUGUGAUUGUUUGCAGGUACCAUACGAAUAAGGACCGGCUAAUUCCGUGCCAGCAGCCGCGGUAAUACGGAAGGUUCGGGCGUUAUCCGGAUUUAUUGGGUUUAAAGGGAGCGUAGGCCGGAGAUUAAGUGUGUUGUGAAAUGUAGACGCUCAACGUCUGACUUGCAGCGCAUACUGGUUUCCUUGAGUACGCACAACGUUGGCGGAAUUCGUCGUGUAGCGGUGAAAUGCUUAGAUAUGACGAAGAACUCCGAUUGCGAAGGCAGCUGACGGGAGCGCAACUGACGCUGAAGCUCGAAGGUGCGGGUAUCGAACAGGAUUAGAUACCCUGGUAGUCCGCACAGUAAACGAUGGAUGCCCGCUGUUGGUACCUGGUAUCAGCGGCUAAGCGAAAGCAUUAAGCAUCCCACCUGGGGAGUACGCCGGCACGGU